rnacentral:rRNA from 1 species
AGCAUGUGGUUUAAUUCGAAGCAACGCGAAGAACCUUACCAGGUCUUGACAUCCGAUGCUAUUUCUAGAGAUAGAAAGUUACUUCGGUACAUCGGUGACAGGUGGUGCAUGGUUGUCGUCAGCUCGUGUCGUGAGAUGUUGGGUUAAGUCCCGCAACGAGCGCAACCCCUAUUGUUAGUUGCCAUCAUUCAGUUGGGCACUCUAGCGAGACUGCCGGUAAUAAACCGGAGGAAGGUGGGGAUGACGUCAAAUCAUCAUGCCCCUUAUGACCUGGGCUACACACGUGCUACAAUGGUUGGUACAACGAGUUGCGAGUCGGUGACGGCGAGCUAAUCUCUUAAAGCCAAUCUCAGUUCGGAUUGUAGGCUGCAACUCGCCUACAUGAAGUCGGAAUCGCUAGUAAUCGCGGAUCAGCACGCCGCGGUGAAUACGUUCCCGGGCCUU